rnacentral:rRNA from 1 species
GUGCCAGCAGCCGCGGUAAUACGGAGGGUGCAAGCGUUAAUCGGAAUUACUGGGCGUAAAGCGCGCGUAGGCGGGCUAGUAAGUUAGAGGUGAAAUCCCAGGGCUCAACCCUGGAACUGCCUUUAAUACUGCUAGUCUUGAGUUCGAGAGAGGUGAGUGGAAUUCCGAGUGUAGAGGUGAAAUUCGUAGAUAUUCGGAGGAACACCAGAGGCGAAGGCGAUGCACUGGACCGGUACUGACGCUGAGGUGCGAAAGCGUGGGGAGC